GACGAACGCUGGCGGCGUGCUUAACACAUGCAAGUCGAACGAUGACGACCGAGCUUGCUCGGUCUGAUUAGUGGCGAACGGGUGAGUAACACGUGAGCAACCUGCCCUGCACUCGGGUAAAACCUCGGGAAAUCGGGGCUAAUACCGGAUAUGAGCUCCUGUCGCAUGGCGGGUGUUGGAAAGUUUUUCGUGGAAGGAUGGGCUCGCGGCCUAUCAGUUUGUUGGUGAGGUAGUGGCUCACCAAGGCGAUGACGGGUAGCCGGCCUGAGAGGGCGACCGGCCACACUGGGACUGAGACACGGCCCAGACUCCUACGGGAGGCAGAAGUGGGGAAUAUUGCACAAUGGGCGAAAGCCUGAUGCAGCGAAGCCGCGUGAGGGAUGACGGCCUUCGGGUUGUAAAACUCUUUCAGCAGGGAAGAAGCGAAAGUGACGGUACCUGCAGAAGAAGCGCCGGCUAACUACGUG
rnacentral:rRNA from 1 species